rnacentral:snRNA from 1 species
AUUGCCGACCCUCAGUAGGAGCUU